rnacentral:rRNA from 1 species
AUGAAACAUUCAAGCAAAGUAACACCAAGAGUUCGGAGAUGGAUACCUCCAGGAGAAGAUGCGGUAAAGAUCAAUGUUGAUGGAGCAGUUUCCCGCUCAGGAAGGACGGGGGCAAGCGCGGCAAUAUGCAGGGACAAAGAUGGCAGCUACAUCGGUUCGUCGGCGGUGGUUUUUGAUGGCCUAGUGGAGGCAGCAAGUUUGGAAGCUCAAGCAUGCAAUGAGGCCCUCGCCCUUGCUCAAGAUCUCCUACAAUCACAUGUGAUAAUAGCUUCAGAUUGCUUGCAAGUCGUCUCAGAUAUUAAUGGUGCUGCGCCAUCUUCUUCUUAUGCUUUUGUUUUGGAUGAGAUUAGAACUAGAACUUUAGAUUUUGUUAAAGUAGUUUUUCUCUUUGAGAAUAGGGAGGCAAAUGCUGAGGCACAUGCCUUGGCAAAGGCAACCUCGACACUCCCUGUUGGUCGACAUGUGUGGCUAGGGAACUUACCAGACAUUAUCUGUAUUCCGUCUGUUUUGGUUGAUGAAUAA